rnacentral:rRNA from 1 species
UACCAGCUCUUCGAGUGGUGUGGAUGUUUAUUGGGCCUAAAGCAUCCGUAGCUGGCUGGGCAAGUCCCCUGUUAAAUCCACCGAUUCAAUCGUUGGAGUGCGGGGGAUACUGCUCGGCUAGGGGACGGGAGAGGCAGACGGUAUUUUCGGGGUAGGGGUGAAAUCCUAUAAUCCCGGGAAGACCACCAGUGGCGAAGGCUGUCUGCUAGAACGUGCCCGACGGUGAGGGAUGAAAGCUGGGGGAGCGAACCGGAUUAGAUACCCGGGUAGUCCCAGCUGUAAACGAUGCAGGCUAGGUGUUUGGACGGCCACGUGCCGUUCUAGUGCCGCAGGGAAGCCGUUAAGCCUGCCGCCGUGGGGAGUUCCGGCCGCAAGGCUAGAAACUUAAAGGAAUUGGGCGGGGAGCACCACGAAGGGGUGAAGCUUGGCGGUCU